UUAAUUACAUGGAGUAAGACUAGUAGCAGUAAUCGUUUAUUGCAGAGAGACUUUUUUAUUAGCUGAAAGAAAAGUCUAAAUAGAGCUGUGAAUUUCAUCUUACUAGUAGGAUUUAAUCAAUUCCGGUAUUCACCGUUAUCGAAGACUUGAGUGUAGACUCUCUUUGUGAGUCUAAACCAGGGUGGUACCGCGAAGCUUCGUCCCUUGA
rnacentral:ncRNA from 1 species